ACGGUGACACGGAGCUUGCUCUGUGGGAUCAGUGGCGAACGGGUGAGUAACACGUGAGCAACCUGCCCCUGACUCUGGGAUAAGCGCUGGAAACGGCGUCUAAUACUGGAUAUGUGACGUGACCGCAUGGUCUGCGUUUGGAAAGAUUUUUCGGUUGGGGAUGGGCUCGCGGCCUAUCAGCUUGUUGGUGAGGUAAUGGCUCACCAAGGCGUCGACGGGUAGCCGGCCUGAGAGGGUGACCGGCCACACUGGGACUGAGACACGGCCCAGACUCCUACGGGAGGCAGCAGUGGGGAAUAUUGCACAAUGGGCGAAAGCCUGAUGCAGCAACGCCGCGUGAGGGAUGACGGCCUUCGGGUUGUAAACCUCUUUUAGCAGGGAAGAAGCGAAAGUGACGGUACCUGCAGAAAAAGCGCCGGCUAACUACGUGCCAGCAGCCGCGGUAAUACGUAGGGCGCAAGCGUUAUCCGGAAUUAUUGGGCGUAAAGAGCUCGUAGGCGGUUUGUCGCGUCUGCUGUGAAAUCCCGAGGCUCAACCUCGGGCCUGCAGUGGGUACGGGCAGACUAGAGUGCGGUAGGGGAGAUUGGAAUUCCUGGUGUAGCGGUGGAAUGCGCAGAUAUCACGAGGAACACCGAUGGCGAAAGCAGAUCUCUGGGCCGUAACUGACGCUGAGGAGCGAAAGGGUGGGGAGCAAACAGGCUUAGAUACCCUGGUAGUCCACCCCGUAAACGUUGGGAACUAGUUGUGGGGUCCAUUCCACGGAUUCCGUGACGCAGCUAACGCAUUAAGUUCCCCGCCUGGGGAGUACGGCCGCAAGGCUAAAACUCAAAGGAAUUGACGGGGACCCGCACAAGCGGCGGAGCAUGCGGAUUAAUUCGAUGCAACGCGAAGAACCUUACCAAGGCUUGACAUAUACGAGAACGGGCCAGAAAUGGUCAACUCUUUGGACACUCGUAAACAGGUGGUGCAUGGUUGUCGUCAGCUCGUGUCGUGAGAUGUUGGGUUAAGUCCCGCAACGAGCGCAACCCUCGUUCUAUGUUGCCAGCACGUAAUGGUGGGAACUCAUGGGAUACUGCCGGGGUCAACUCGGAGGAAGGUGGGGAUGACGUCAAAUCAUCAUGCCCCUUAUGUCUUGGGCUUCACGCAUGCUACAAUGGCCGGUACAAAGGGCUGCAAUACCGUGAGGUGGAGCGAAUCCCAAAAAGCCGGUCCCAGUUCGGAUUGAGGUCUGCAACUCGACCUCAUGAAGUCGGAGUCGCUAGUAAUCGCAGAUCAGCAACGCUGCGGUGAAUACGUUCCCGGGUCUUGUACACACCGCCCGUCAAGUCAUGAAAGUCGGUAACACCUGAA
rnacentral:rRNA from 1 species